GGCUUCUGCUCAGCGGCUGCAGAAAGAACUAGGUAGCAAGCGAAAGGAAAUGGCGGCCUUGGCGCCGCAUAGCUUCUCCGCCGGACUCCGGUGGCCGCUGGUCUCCUCCUCCCCACUCUCUCGACCUUCCUCCGCGGCCGUCCCCUCGAAGCCGCCGGUGAGGCGCUCCUACUGCCACGCCGCGGUUGUCGCCGGCACGUACGCGCUCACCCCCGCCCAGAAGGAGCGGCAGAAGCUGAGGGAACUCUUCGAGGAGGCCUCCGAUAGGUGCCGCACCGCCCCCAUGGAGGGCGUCGCCUUCACCAUCGAGGACUUCCACGCCGCCCUCGACAAGUACGAUUUCGACUCCGAGAUCGGCGCCAAGGUUAAAGGAACUGUCUUAUUGACAGAUGGAAAUGGCGCAUUGGUUGAUAUCACUGCAAAAUCUUCUGCCUACUUACCUCUUCAAGAAGCAUGCAUUCACAAAAUUAAGCAUGUCGCUGAAGCGGGCAUAUAUCCAGGAUUAGUUGAAGAGUUUGUCAUAAUUGGUGAGAAAACUGCGGAUGAUAGCCUGGUUCUGAGCCUGCGGUCUAUUCAAUAUGGUCUUGCAUGGGAAAGGUGUAAGCAGCUUCAGGCCGAAGAUGUUGUUGUCAAGGGUCAGGUUGUUGGUGGAAAUAAAGGCGGUGUUGUAGCCAUUGUAGACGGCCUUCGUGGUUUUGUUCCAUUUUCACACAUAUCAACAAAAUCAACCGCAGAAGAACUCAUUGGUAAGGAGCUACCCCUAAAAUUUGUGGAGGUUGAUGAGGAGCAAUCUAGGCUUGUUCUCAGCAACCGCAAGGCCAUGGCAGAAAGUCAGGUUCAACUUGGAAUUGGCUCGGUGGUCUUAGGAAGUGUCCAAAGCCUUAAACCUUAUGGUGCCUUUGUCGAUAUUGGUGGAAUCAGUGGUCUACUCCAUGUUAGCCAGAUUAGUCAUGAUCGUAUCACAGACAUCUCAACAGUCCUGCAACCUGGUGACUUCCUUAAGGUAAUGAUACUGAGCCAUGAUCGUGAAAGAGGCCGAGUAAGCCUUUCUACUAAAAAGCUGGAAUCCACCCCUGGUGAUAUGAUCCGGAAUCCUAAGCUUGUCUUUGAGAAGGCUGAUGAGAUGGCGCAAGCAUUCCGGCAGAGGAUUGCCCAAGCCGAGGCCAUGGCUCGUGCCGACAUUCUAAGAUUCCAGCCUGAGAGUGGUUUGACUCUCAACUCUGAAGGAAUUUUGAGCACCCUCACAUCGGACUUGCCUGCGGAGGGUUUGGACCUUAGUGACAUACCUGCGGCAGAAGUGUAAAUAAGGUAUGGUUUCAAAAUAAGGUUUUAUACGGCUUCAUGUUUCAUAUGGAAGCCUGUGAACGUACAUUACGGAUUCUUUUCAGGAGUUUUUACUACAUAUUAGAGACAUUAUUGUUUGCACGAGUCAAAUGAGAGUUUCUUGGCAACAGAGAAAAAGAAAGGGAGAGAAAAUGUUGGUUUUCUGCACUCUCCCGUUGAAGUGUUCCAUUGCGACAUGCGUAUGUCUCCACAGGUGAUGUUGGCAUUGAUGCCACUUGCAGAUCUUAACAGGGCGGCGAUCAAAUAUAAGCACGGAUCUUUACGCUUAAUGGACGCAGAUCAUGCCUUGAAAGUUCGCUGCCUGGAGAUAAACCGGAGCGGGGUUCUUCGGGCACCGGCACGGCUCUUAAAGGCUUUUCCCAAUCUAAUCUUUUUCACGCAUCUCCAAGCUUGAUGGAUCAAUGUAUACAUUGGGUAAAAACUUCAACAAGUAAUCUAAAGAUUUGAGUGCGUAGGAAAGUA